AUUUAAGAGGAAGGAUUUGUUCUGAUUGCAACCUCGUAAAAAAAUGCUAAAGCAGUAAUA
rfam:Flavobacteriaceae bacterium TJ101, complete genome.